rnacentral:rRNA from 1 species
UACAGGGGGGGCAAGCGUUGUUCGGAAUUACUGGGCGUAAAGCGUGCGCAGGCGGCUUCGCAAGUCAGGCGUGAAAUCCCCGGGCUUAACCUGGGAAUGGCGUCUGAAACUACGGAGCUGGAGUGUGGCAGAGGGAGGUAGAAUUCCACGUGUAGCGGUGAAAUGCGUAGAUAUGUGGAGGAAUACCGAUGGCGAAGGCAGCCUCCUGGGCCAACACUGACGCUCAUGCACGAAAGCGUGGGGAGCAAACAGG